GACGAACGCUGGCGGCGUGCUUAACACAUGCAAGUCGAACGGAAAGGCCCUGCUUUUGUGGGGUGCUCGAGUGGCGAACGGGUGAGUAACACGUGAGUAACCUGCCCUUGACUUUGGGAUAACGUCAGGAAGCUGGGGCUAAUACCGGAUAGGAGCUCCUGCUGCAUGGUGGGGGUUGGAAAGUUUCGGCGGUUGGGGAUGGACUCGCGGCUUAUCAGCUUGUUGGUGGGGUAGUGGCAUACCAAGGCUUUGACGGGUAGCCGGCCUGAGAGGGUGACCGGCCACAUUGGGACUGAGAUACGGCCCAGACUCCUACGGGAGGCAGCGGUGGGGAGUAUUGCACAAUGGGCGGAAGCCUGAUGCAGCAGCGCCGCGUGCGGGAUGACGGCCUUCGGGUUGUAAACCGCUUUCGCCUGUGACGAAGCGUGAGUGACGGUAAUGGGUAAAGAAGCACCGGCUAACUACGUG
rnacentral:rRNA from 1 species